UUUUAACUGAAACGUUGCCGUGCAGAAAUCAAGAACAACAGGGGGAGAAUCUUUCUCGGCUGUUAGGUUUUCAAACGAAAAGGGGUUUAAGCCGGGUGUUUGCUGCCCAGACUAAUGCACAAUGCGAAGCUGGUCAGACUUUUGAACCCCACUGGACAGAUUAGGUUACAAGGCAGGUUUGAUUUCAGCUCUGGCUGUCGGCAGGGGAAGGGUUAACUGGAGACGCGGCAUGUUAACUGUAUCUGCGGCGAUUCUGGAAUGUUUAUCCAGUGUUCAGAUUUCCUGUUUGAGUGUUUGGAUUUCCUGAAAUCCCGGCUAUCAACCCAAGUGCUGCCCCGCGAGCAGACUCUUUUUUUUUGUUCGUGUGGCUCACAUGGUUGGCUUUCCUUCCUGCUCUCUUCCCAGCCGUAGUGCCUGUGUCUCCUCACUGCUCAGGGCAUUCAUGGAUGCAAACCAAAACUUCUAACCUCCAGAACUCGGUGGAUCCCCCUCCAUUGGAUUGCACUGGAUUGGAAUUUUUUUUUUUCUGACUGGGAUUAAUACCUGAAGAAACAUGGUCUCUUUCAGCUGCUUGUGGGAGGAUAUAUUUUAGCCUAAGAUGGAAUAAUGGCCUUAGGUUUGAGAAGCAAAUUUGGAAUGGGAAUUCAAACCACACAAGUCCUGGUACGUGAAGAUUUUGGAAGUUCUAAACAAUGGCAUUUUUUGGUCCUCCCACAUCUCGCGCAGUACUUUAGAUUGAAUCCUGUUCAUCUUAUCCAAAGCCAGAGUCAAAGUCACCAGUGGAUUUCUGUAAGCAAGGCUGACAGGAUAAGCCUUUUCUCCUUUCCUUCCAUUAAGCUGGCAGUUAUGCUGUUUUCCUUGCAUUCAGGUUGUGAUGCUGAAAAGAAAAUAAUCAUUACUUUAUUUGAUACACGGGAAGUCAAGAUACCACACUUUGCACAGACACUUACAAUCAGAUGAGUAGCUCAAUAGAAGCCAAGGAGGGAUGUAAUUGGGAACUUCUGAACCACAUAGGGAUGUGUCAGAUUAGACUUUUGGUGAUAAUCGUGUGUGGAAAAGGCCAUGCAUUAAUUUAGCUCUUAGGUGAUAAUCUCAUGUCCAUACUGGCCUAUCUACAACACUCGUAGGAACCUGAAAUGAAUGAGUUUCUAAAUCAGAAAGUCCCUAAUGAUAGUCUAAUGUCAGAAAAUUCAGAGGGUGAGCGGAGAUUAAAUGUUAAAAAAGGCUUAUCAGUCUCUUGGGUUUGAAAAUAUGGUUGAUGAUCUAAUGAGAACAAGUUUUUUAUCUGUACUUCUGGUUUGGGUUAGGGUGGAAAUAGCUUUUCUGGUGGUAUUUUGGUAUUUCCUCUUUCGCUCACGCCCAGAACCAGGAAGUGUAGAAGCAUAACCUUUAUUUCUUUGUGUGUGCUUUUUUCUAAUUGUGACCUCUCUCUUCCUUUCCUUUUCUUUUUUUUUUUUAACACAGCCCUCAAAUAUUUUAGAGUUAGUUUGAUUUAGACGUUAGACAUUAUUUAGAAGUCUUUCUGCAACUGCAGAAAGCUAUUUUUCUUUCAAUAUGAGUAACUAAAAUACUAGUUUUAAAUAUUCA
ensembl:lncRNA